rnacentral:snRNA from 1 species
GUACUCGCUUUGGCAGCACGUAUAUUAAAAUUGGAAAGAUACAGAGCAGAUCAGCAUGGCCCCUGCACAAGGGUGACAUGCAAAUUCAUGGAACAUUCCAUAUUUUU